rnacentral:rRNA from 1 species
ACUCCUACGGGAGGCAGCAGUAGGGAAUUUUCGCAAUGGAGGAAACUCUGACGGAGCAAUACCGCGUGUGGGAAGAAGAUUUUCGGAUUAGUAAACCACUGUUAGUAAGGGAAGAACGUUAUUAGUAGGAAAUGGCUAAUAAGUGACGGUACCUUACCAGAAAGGGACGGCUAACUACGUGCCAGCAGCCGCGGUAAUACGUAGGUCCCGAGCGUUAUCCGGAAUUAUUGGGCGUAAAGGGCACGUAGGCGGACAAAUAAGUUUGAUGUCAAAUAUGAUGGCUCAACCAUCAAGAGGCGUUGAAAACUGUUUAUCUAGAAUCUCGGAGAGGUAAGUGGAAUUCCAUGUGU